rnacentral:lncRNA from 1 species
CUAUGUAACGAUUAACUUAGCCUCUCUCUCUCUCUCUCUCUCUCGCUCUCUCUGCUUGAAGAUUAUCCUGACUUUUGACCUUUCAUCAAUCAUCGUCCAGGACGCAGAAGACAAAAUUGUCACAAAUAAAGUUAAUUUCACAAACAGGUAGACCCCAUCCUUGAAAACAAGACAAUGAUCUUUCUUCCUUCUUUCCAUAAAACUCUCCCUGUGAGCAUUUUCCCAGCUGAUUAGAUAAGAUUCCAGAUUCUCUUCCUGCAACCAUUAUAAUACCAAAAAGCUCAACCAGCAAACAAGAUUUAGCCUAUAAGUACAAAGAUGCUGCAAAGACUAUAUCCCUCUUGAUUUUGGUGAUGGCCUCUUCAAAUUUCGCUUCAAGGUGUGUCUCACCAAUGGAUUUCGCUGCUUGUAUUAGCUGCUGAAGAACUUCCUCCAGUCUCCGGAUUGCCCUGAUCAAGCUGCCUUCGAAAACCUGUGCAAAUUGCAUGAUUGUAGCUUAUAACUGUCCCUACAUACUGUACGAAAUGGUACUUACAAGUACCUAUAAGCUCAAACCAAACAUGCCCCCUGAAAGGUUGUAGCUGGUUGAUUGUGUGCACAACAGAAACCAAAUGAAAAGUGCUAUAUAUAAUGCAAUAAAUUAAGGUAAAUUACCCAAAAAAAAAAAAAAAAAAAGGUCCAAAACGCACACAAUAUUUUGCAUGUAGUACGUAUAACAAUUCUAGUUAGAAAUUGAGAAUCUGCACUCCAGCAGAUCAAAAAUCUAAAAUAAAUUAUUGGAUGAUACAAUAUACUAAAAGCCGUUUAAACUAUGCUAACCUAUGUAACGAUUAACUUAGCCUCUCUCUCUCUCUCUCUCUCUCGCUCUCUCUGCUUGAAGAUUAUCCUGACUUUUGACCUUUCAUCAAUCAUCGUCCAGGACGCAGAAGACAAAAUUGUCACAAAUAAAGUUAAUUUCACAAACAGGUAGACCCCAUCCUUGAAAACAAGACAAUGAUCUUUCUUCCUUCUUUCCAUAAAACUCUCCCUGUGAGCAUUUUCCCAGCUGAUUAGAUAAGAUUCCAGAUUCUCUUCCUGCAACCAUUAUAAUACCAAAAAGCUCAACCAGCAAACAA